rnacentral:rRNA from 1 species
GAACGUUGGCGGCGUGGAUUAGGCAUGCAAGUCGUACGGUAAGCUUCGGCUUAUAGUGGCGAAAGGGAGAGUAACGCGUGGUUACAUGCCCUCGGGACCGGGAUAGCGGCGGGAAACUGCCGGUAAUACCGGAUAAUAUCUUUGGAUCAAAGGUGUGAUUCCGCCCGAGGAUUGGACCGCGUUCUAUUAGCUUGUUGGCGGGGUAAUGGCCCACCAAGGCGACGAUGGAUACCGGGUGUGAGAGCAUGGCCCGGCUCACUGGGACUGAGACACUGCCCAGACACCUACGGGUGGCUGCAGUCGAGAAUCUUCGGCAAUGGGGGCAACCCUGACCGAGCGACGCCGCGUGCGGGACGAAGGCCUUCGGGUUGUAAACCGCUGUCAGUUGGGAGGAAGUGCCGGGGGGUUCUCCCCUCGGUUUGACCGAUCUUCAGAGGAAGGACGGGCUAAGUUCGUGCCAGCAGCCGCGGUAAGACGAACCGUCCAAACGUUAUUCGGUAUCACUGGGCUUAAAGCGUGCGUAGGCGGCCUGGUAGGUGGUGUGAAAGCCCACGGCUCAACCGUGGAAUUGCGCUUCAAACCACCAGGCUGGAGGAUGGCAGGGGUGAUGGGAACUGAUGGUGGAGCGGUGAAAUGCGUUGAUAUC